UACGGGGGGAGCGAGCGUUGUUCGGAUUCAUUGGGCGUAAAGGGCGCGUAGGCGGCCUCGUAAGUCCGACGUGAAAUGUACCGGUUCAACCGGGGCGCUGUGUCGGAAACUGCCUGGCUUGAGGUCGAGGGAGGAAGGUGGAAUUCCUGGUGUAGCGGUGAAAUGCGUAGAUAUCAGGAGGAACACCCGUGGCGAAGGCGGCCUUCUAUCUCGAUCCUGACGCUGAGGCGCGAAAGCCAGGGGAGCAAACGGG
rnacentral:rRNA from 1 species